CCACACAGGGCUGGCCACCUUGGAGCUCAGUAAUCUGAUGGGAUUUCCCUUUGAGACUUAAAGGUCAUUUUUCUCACUUAAAAAAUGGAAUUAAAAGAGAAACUUAGACAGGCAUAAUAUGAUGUCUGACAUCAUCUCAUGGAUCCAAACCGAGCCAGAAAUUUUACUUGCACUUGUGAAAAGUUUAAACCUGGAGUUUCACAUUACUGUAAUUACUGAUCAUGUGGAAAAUAAAACAACUUGGAGAUAUAUAUAUAUAUUUUUUCCACUAGAAUUCCUCUCAAGUUCUUUGCUGGUGUUGCUCUGUCAGAAGAGCUGAAUACGGAUCACAAUGACCUCUGGAAAACAUGCAUCCAGUGUUCUCCAGAAGUAGCUCUUUUAGCUUCGCUGCAGGAAAAAGGGUGUCCUACGACAGAAGAGAAUGGCUUCUUAUCUCCCUCUCCUGACCAAGGUUUAUUUCCCUCACUCUGCUCCAUUCUUUCCAGCCCUUGGAGAAAACUGUUUCUUUAUAAUUUUGUUCCUUCAAGUCAAGAUUGACUCCGGUGCUGACAGUCAUGACUGAGCAACCUGUUCUGGGACAGAGAUGUGGCCACCACUCUGAAGAAUAUAGGGGGGAGAUGGAGGUCAGUCAUUCAAGCAGCCUGUCCUUGGCUUUCUCCCCACACAAGAAAGCACCAGCCAAUGGUGCUUUGGCUCGGUGUGAUGGAUGGACUGUUUCCCUUCCUGGGUCACCUGCUAUCCUAGUUUGGAUCUCUGCAGGUAGACUGUCUCUGAUCACAGCAGGGAGCUGGGGAAGGAUCUUUCCAGGACCUAGCAUAUGCACAAGGUGGGAUGAAGAAAGGCUUGUACAUGCUGUGCCCCCAAAUCCGGAGACAGCUGGACAGAGCAGACUCCUUGUUUCCCCAUCCGCCGUAUAG
rnacentral:lncRNA from 1 species